UGACGUUCUAGGUAGAAUAGGACUGCAGAGAAAGCACCACAUACAGUCUCUCAAUUUCACUCCCCACUGACUAUAUCUUCCUGCAACCCCUCCCUUGGUAGGAAGCAGCACUAGCCCACUUCUGCCCAAAACGGGGAGAAUGGAACGGUUUCUUCCCACACCCUUUCUGCUGCCUGAGGUGAUAACUGAAGAGGAAACGGUGGGCCAGGGAAACAUCACUCCCGUGCCCCGUCGCGGCAUUGAAAUGUAUUGCUGUCCUGAGUACAGCGAAGCAGUGGAAUAUGUAGAGAUGAGCGUUUCCACAAUGGAAGCGCUCAUUGCCCAUGGCCCUUCUAUUGCCCUCUUCUUGCCCCUACCCAGUGCAGCCUGAGGCAAUCGCCUCAACUCGCCUCAUUGGUGGUGCACCCCUGCACACAACCCCCUAAAAAUUAUGCACAGCCCUAAA